rnacentral:misc_RNA from 1 species
GAUGAAGAACGUAGCGAAAUGCGAUACUUGGUGUGAAUUGCAGAAUCCCGUGAACCAUCGAGUCUUUGAACGCAAGUUGCGCCCGAAGCCAUUAGGCCGAGGGCACGCCUGCCUGGGCGUCACACGUCGUUGCCCCCCCAUCUACUCCUUCGGGAUUGCGGGGGGCGGAUGAUGGCCUCCCGUGCGCCUCGUCGCGCGGUUGGCAUAAAUGCCAAGUCCUCGGCGACGCACGCCACGACAAUCGGUGGUUGCGAAACCUCGGUUGCCCGUCGUGUGCGGUCGUCGCGCAUCGAGGGCUCGAAAAAAUUGCCGGGCUCGGUUUCGGCUUUCAACGCGACCCCAGGUCAGGCGGGGUUACCCGCUGAAUUUAAGCAUAUCAAUAAGCGGAGGA